GAAGCUGCUUCUCUCAGCACAACGGAAAAUAUCUCAAUGACUUGACAUGUUCUGGUUGUGAAUUCAGGCUACAAGGGGUCAGUGCUCUAAAAUGAGUCUCUCUGGGGAGAGAAGGAGGGGGGCCCUGCCUCUAAAAUGCAUCUCUCUGGGGACAUGACACCAAAGCUAAGAGGAUGUUUCUGAUCUGCAAGGGCCUGGAGAAAUGAGAAUGGUGAAAUAAGUGUUCUUGUCACAUGACCAAGACCACUUAUGUGUAAAAAGGGAGGAGUUGUGGUUUGUAUGCAUAACAAUGUAGGCAGAGGAAGGCUGAGACCAGAUUGUCAUAGGUAACAGUAAUGCCUCUGUCUCUGAUGUACAUGCAUGGACGUGUGCAUCGUACCCCUGGUUUAGCACCUCAUGAAAUACUCACAGGAAGACCCAUGAUCACCUAAACACCCCGUUCCCACAGAACAGGUUGACACUGAUGGGUUGUGAGAAUCAAAUGGUAAACUACUGCGCUGCACUUAACAAUGUUCUGAAGUCUAUUUCCCCAGCAUUGCCUGAACCAAAGGGAGGAAAAGCUCCACAAAUUGCAGCCAGGAGAUUGAGUGGUCAACAAGGACCUCUGCAGAAAGACUUGGCACCAACAGCGCUGGACUAGUCCAUUCCAGGUGCUCCUGAUGGUUGCAGAGCGGUCGACGUGGGUUCACGCCAGCCACUGCAGGAAGGUGCCCCACAACCCAGACGAAGAUGUACCAGCCYAUGAAUKGUCAUAUGCGA